CUACGGGGUGCUGCAGUGGGGAAUUUUGGACAAUGGGCGCAAGCCUGAUCCAGCCAUGCCGCGUGAGUGAAGAAGGCCUUCGGGUUGUAAAGCUCUUUCAGGUGGGAAGAAACGGUUAAUGUUAAUAGCAUUGACUACUGACGGUACCACCAGAAGAAGCACCGGCUAACUACGUGCCAGCAGCCGCGGUAAUACGUAGGGUGCGAGCGUUAAUCGGAAUUACUGGGCGUAAAGGGUGCGCAGGCGGUUUUGUAAGCCAGAUGUGAAAUCCCCGGGCGCAACCUGGGAACCGCAUUUGGGACUGCAAGGCUAGAGUACGGCAGAGGGGGGUAGAAUUCCACGUGUAGCAGUGAAAUGCGUAGAUAUGUGGAGGAAUACCGAUGGCGAAGGCAGCCCCCUGGGUCGAUACUGACGCUCAGGCACGAAAGCGUGGGGAGCAAACAGGAUUAGAUACCCCGGUAGUC
rnacentral:rRNA from 1 species